UACCAAAUUCGUUUUCUGUCCAGGUGUA
rnacentral:piRNA from 1 species